rnacentral:antisense_RNA from 1 species
GGCUCGUGUCAGUGGAAGCUGGGGUGUCGGCGGGCGGCCGCGGCCGGGUCUAGCGGUGCCUGCGGAAGAAGGAGGAGGAGGGCUGGCGAUGAGAAGCAGCAGGAGGAAUCAAGGGCAAGAAGGGACCCAGAGGGGCAGGUGGCUGAGAUGCUGGCGUCCAGGUGACCCGAGGAAUCCUCUGGAGAUACAGGCCCGCGCAUGCGCGUGCUCGAGCGCUGAAGCCCAUUGCCCGCAGGGCGCUGGACUGGCGCCCCGGCCGGCGAGGCUGUCUAGUCCAGGCUCCAGGCCCCGGCUCUGGCCAGGCGCCGCCGCCUCCCGGUGCAGCUGAAAGUCGACGAAGAGGGCGGGGCGGGGCGGCUUGUGGACUUCCACACUUUUCCUCUCUUCGGGCCAGUCCGGGGAGAGGGUGGCUAGCUGUGGCGGCGGCCAAUUACGUGGCGGACCUGCGGGGCUAAGCUGGCACGUCACUUCCGACUAGUGGAGUUUUUAGCCUUUUAACAUUCAAGGAUUAGGUAAAAGUCUUGCAGUGAAAAACCCGAGGACCCUUACCGCAAGUGUCCUUUGCUCCCAGCUACUGAUACUGGAUUCCACUUGUGAUUCUCCCUUUCUUAGCGCAUUCAUGAUAUAGACAUCAGUCUCUGAGCUGGAGGAGGACAAAGGCAGCAGUCCUGUGAAUUCUAUGCUCUAGCUUGGGUUAAGGGAUUUGGAAUUGCACUUGUUCCAGAGAGCUCCCUCUUUGCCCACUAGCAGGGCAUUAGCUGGUGCUGAAGACAGUGGCUGCUUGGCGAGCCUGGAUCUCCAAGUGACUCCAAGUGACCCCCUCAGCAACUCCUGAUGAACAGGACUGAAGCCAAUAUUAAAGCAAGUCAACCAAAGAUUCUCUGGUGUAGACAAGACAGCAAAAGGACAGACUACCUUGUGGAACCUAGCAUUGUUCUCCUUCUGCAGCACUAAGUAACAUUUGUGCUCCGUUAAGAUCUUUGCAAACCACACACAAGAAUUGCUGGUCAUCCUGCCAAUAGAUGCUGCUCACAGAACCAAAUUUCCUGUGCUGAAUUGUCACUCAUGGGCUUGAGAGUAGGAGACUGGAGACCAAGGUGGCUAGAAUCCAGUUGGGCCUGAUGUCUCCCUGUUGAAAGGGCUCCUUGUGGAAUAAACAGCACAUGGCUCCCGUGGUGGAUCUGAUAGUGGCACAGCACCAAGUGAUGCAGGCCUGCCAGGGGCCACAGACACAGAAGAUGCUCCCAGGGUCCCCCGUGUACUCCAGACACACUGCAGGCCACCUCUCCCAGCAGGUUGCCAGUCAUGGGCCCCAUCAUCAUGACUUCUGUCCAAGGUACUGUGUGCAGAAAUGUGAUUGAGAUUCAAGUCAGGGCCUCUCUGCCCUUUUCCCUCCAGAAACAAAACCAAGAUAAUUUAUCCUGAACACGGUGAAAAAAGGAAGGGAGGGAGGAGAAAAAGUCCGGGUCUCACCUGGGAUUCUCUGUCUCCUGCAACAUGAAGGAUUUAGCCUGGGAGGAGGUGGUGAGAACUCUGGGAGAGAAAAAAGAAGGAAAGAAUAGUUUUACCCAUGCUGAAGUUAAUUUAAACCUUCACCUAGAGAAGCAAAAAAACCCCCACACUUUUCCAUUUUGUGCCUCCCUUCCUAGAGUUUUAGCCAAAGGUUUAGCUAAGUAAUUGGUUUUACCAGGGCACUCACUCUUCCUAUCCCGAGUCUGUUUGACUCCCUCCCCAUCAUCCUCCUCACCUCUUUUCAGGCAGGGUGGGGAUAGCAGCAGGAGGAGAUUUUGGGAGCCUGGCAACUCCUGCAAGGACCGCAGGACAGCCCCUCUGUGGGGAUGCGUGGUGCCCCAUCUGCCGCCCUUCUGAAGAAUGCACUGCCUUCACUUUUUACUGUGUUAGAGUCCAUCCAGACUGUUCUAUCCAAAAAAGAGUUUCUUUUUCCCCCACAGGCAAUCAGGAAAUGAUUCCUUUCCCAACUGCUUCUGUCUAGUGCCUGGGAAUCUUGAGUCAAUCCCUCAGUAAGUCAGUGACUAUAGAAAUCCCUCUCUGAGCCUCCCAGUUCAUGUUGCUUAGGGAACCUGAUAUUUUCAUGAAACCUGCCUACACAUGGGCAGCCCAACAGCAGAACAAAUGGUGGUGACCAAAGUGAACAAAGAAGUAUAGUUGUGCCAGCUUCGUAGUUGCCCAUGUGGACAAGUCAGCAGGAUCAGGACACGAGGAAGAGUAAAUGUGAGACAGUCAAUGUGACUUCUGCGAUAAACAGAUUUUUAAACCCCGAAAUUUUGCAAAAUUUUGGUGAAACCUGAACUUUCUUCGUUGCAUAUACUGGCACUAUCUGUACCAUCAUACAACUGUCUCACAUUAAAGCUAUUUUUCUUGGGCACUGAUGAGCAAGGUUGGUAUGUUUGAGUUCCUCAGAUCAACAAAAACCCAUUUUCCUAUAAGUCUUACAUUUAGUAUUUAAGGAACUAAAACUUAAAUACAUUUUGUGAAAUGGUUGACACUUCACUGAUAAUGAUUUAUUGCUUGGAUUAAUAAAUUUUCCAAAAGUUGUCUUAUUAUGU